rnacentral:rRNA from 1 species
GGUUGCGAUCAACCAGCACUAAUGCAACCGGAUCCCAUCAGAACUCCGCAGUUAAGCGUGCUUGGGCGAGAGUAGUACUAGGAUGGGUGACCCCUGGGAAGUCCUCGUGUUGCAACCC